GAUGAACGCUGGCGGCGUGCUUAACACAUGCAAGUCGAACGAUGAAGCCCAGCUUGCUGGGUGGAUUAGUGGCGAACGGGUGAGUAACACGUGAGUAACCUGCCCUUAACUCUGGGAUAAGCCUGGGAAACUGGGUCUAAUACCGGAUAGGAGCGUCCACCGCAUGGUGGGUGUUGGAAAGAUUUAUCGGUUUUGGAUGGACUCGCGGCCUAUCAGCUUGUUGGUGAGGUAAUGGCUCACCAAGGCGACGACGGGUAGCCGGCCUGAGAGGGUGACCGGCCACACUGGGACUGAGACACGGCCCAGACUCCUACGGGAGGCAGCAGUGGGGAAUAUUGUACAAUGGGCGCAAGCCUGAUGCAGCGACGCCGCGUGAGGGAUGACGGCCUUCGGGUUGUAAACCUCUUUCAGUAGGGAAGAAGCGAAAGUGACGGUACCUGCAGAAGAAGCACCGGCUAACUACGUG
rnacentral:rRNA from 1 species